rnacentral:sRNA from 1 species
GAGAGAUUGAAGAUGGCGGCUUCUCAGGCGGUGGAGGAAAUGCGGAGCCGCGUGGUUCUGGGGGAGUUUGGAGUUCGCAAUGUCCAUACUACUGACUUUCCCGGUAACUAUUCCGGUUAUGAUGAUGCCUGGGACCAGGACCGCUUCGAGAAGAAUUUCCGUGUGGAUGUAGUACACAUGGAUGAAAACUCACUGGAGUUUGACAUGGUGGGAAUUGACGCAGCCAUUGCCAAUGCUUUUCGACGAAUUCUGCUAGCUGAGGUGCCAACUAUGGCUGUGGAGAAGGUCCUGGUGUACAAUAAUACAUCCAUUGUUCAGGAUGAGAUUCUUGCUCACCGUCUGGGGCUCAUUCCCAUUCAUGCAGAUCCCCGUCUUUUUGAGUACCGGAACCAAGGUGAGAAAAUGAAAUUUUGGGAGAAGUGGACUAUCUGGGUUCAAAUCCUGGUUGACUGUGAUGUUGGGUAAGUUACUUAUCUUUGUACAUCAGUGUUUUUCAUCUGUGAGAACACUUGCCUUGUCUCCCAAGUUUGCCAUAAUUAAAUGGGAAACACGUAAAGCAUUCAGCAUAGUGCUGGCACUCAGACGUUUACUAGUUCUUAGGAGCUCCCUCCAUUUGUGCAGGAGAUGAAGAAGGCACAGAGAUAGAUACUCUACAGUUUCGUCUCCAAGUCAGAUGCACUCGGAACCCCCAUGCUGCUAAAGAUUCCUCUGACCCCAACGAACUGUACGUGAACCACAAAGUGUAUACCAGGCAUAUGACAUGGAUCCCCCUGGGGAACCAGGCUGAUCUCUUUCCAGAGGGCACUAUCCGACCAGUGCACGAUGAUAUCCUCAUCGCUCAGCUGCGGCCUGGCCAAGAAAUUGACCUGCUCAUGCACUGUGUCAAGGGCAUUGGCAAAGAUCAUGCCAAGUUUUCACCAGUGGCAACAGCCAGUUACAGGCUCCUGCCAGACAUCACCCUGCUUGAGCCCGU